UAAAUAGUACAUUAGAUAAACCCAUACCCUUUAGACAAGAACAACAAGAGUGGAUCCCGUAGAGUACUACGGAUGCGUAGGGGUGCUAAUACCUUCCCUUCGCAUAAUCGACUCACGAACCCAAGAUUUGGUUGCGAGACCUUGUCUUUUCCUUCCCUUUUUCCAGGUUUACUUCGAGCGUUUCCUUUCCCUCCUUUGGGAUAAAUAACGCACGAUGGCGACUCUUUUGUCUUUUCUUUU
rnacentral:lncRNA from 1 species